rnacentral:rRNA from 2 species
UCUGGUAUUGAUUGGUGCUUGCAUCAUGAUUUACAUUUGAGUGAGUGGCGAACUGGUGAGUAACACGUGGGAAACCUGCCCAGAAGCGGGGGAUAACACCUGGAAACAGAUGCUAAUACCGCAUAACAACUUGGACCGCAUGGUCCGAGCUUGAAAGAUGGCUUCGGCUAUCACUUUUGGAUGGUCCCGCGGCGUAUUAGCUAGAUGGUGGGGUAACGGCUCACCAUGGCAAUGAUACGUAGCCGACCUGAGAGGGUAAUCGGCCACAUUGGGACUGAGACACGGCCCAAACUCCUACGGGAGGCAGCAGUAGGGAAUCUUCCACAAUGGACGAAAGUCUGAUGGAGCAACGCCGCGUGAGUGAAGAAGGGUUUCGGCUCGUAAAACUCUGUUGUUAAAGAAGAACAUAUCUGAGAGUAACUGUUCAGGUAUUGACGGUAUUUAACCAGAAAGCCACGGCUAACUACGUGCCAGCAGCCGCGGUAAUACGUAGGUGGCAAGCGUUGUCCGGAUUUAUUGGGCGUAAAGCGAGCGCAGGCGGUUUUUUAAGUCUGAUGUGAAAGCCUUCGGCUCAACCGAAGAAGUGCAUCGGAAACUGGGAAACUUGAGUGCAGAAGAGGACAGUGGAACUCCAUGUGUAGCGGUGAAAUGCGUAGAUAUAUGGAAGAACACCAGUGGCGAAGGCGGCUGUCUGGUCUGUAACUGACGCUGAGGCUCGAAAGUAUGGGUAGCAAACAGGAUUAGAUACCCUGGUAGUCCAUACCGUAAACGAUGAAUGCUAAGUGUUGGAGGGUUUCCGCCCUUCAGUGCUGCAGCUAACGCAUUAAGCAUUCCGCCUGGGGAGUACGGCCGCAAGGCUGAAACUCAAAGGAAUUGACGGGGGCCCGCACAAGCGGUGGAGCAUGUGGUUUAAUUCGAAGCUACGCGAAGAACCUUACCAGGUCUUGACAUACUAUGCAAAUCUAAGAGAUUAGACGUUCCCUUCGGGGACAUGGAUACAGGUGGUGCAUGGUUGUCGUCAGCUCGUGUCGUGAGAUGUUGGGUUAAGUCCCGCAACGAGCGCAACCCUUAUUAUCAGUUGCCAGCAUUAAGUUGGGCACUCUGGUGAGACUGCCGGUGACAAACCGGAGGAAGGUGGGGAUGACGUCAAAUCAUCAUGCCCCUUAUGACCUGGGCUACACACGUGCUACAAUGGAUGGUACAACGAGUUGCGAACUCGCGAGAGUAAGCUAAUCUCUUAAAGCCAUUCUCAGUUCGGAUUGUAGGCUGCAACUCGCCUACAUGAAGUCGGAAUCGCUAGUAAUCGCGGAUCAGCAUGCCGCGGUGAAUACGUUCCCGGGCCUUGUACACACCGC